UUUCCGUAGGUGAGCCUGCGGAAGGAUCAUUAACGAGUUAGGGUCUUCCAGGCCCGACCUCCCAACCCUAUGUUUAUUGAACCUCUGUUGCUUCGGCGGACCCGCCUCACGGCCGCCGGAGGACCGCUGCAAGGCGUCCUCUGGCCAGCGUCCGCCGAUGGCCAACCACUUAAACUCUGAGUGAAUCGUGUCAUAUGUCUAAGUCUAUGAUUAAAUUAAAGCAAAACUUUCAACAACGGAUCUCUUGGUUCUG
rnacentral:misc_RNA from 1 species